UACUAAACAACACAUAAAAUAAACAUGCAAAAGUUGUUGCGCUGAAGAGGCACAAUUCCUAAAAAAAUACUAUCCAUCAAUGGGGAUUUGAUCCCUGGACCUCUAGGAUGUAGCACCAUUGCGCUAACCACCUCAGCUAACAGGCUACUUACACAGGAUAUCAGCGGAGAUAGCAUAUAACAUAACCCUGGCUAUACAGAUCUAGGACUAAACUAAGUUUCAGUUACACAGGAGCUUGCUCACUUUGGGGAAGUAGAGAGGCCGGAGGCCAUGCGAGGAGAAGCUGAGAUUGGACGGGGAUUUCUGGAUGGAUCCGGGCAUGGGUCGAGGCUGGAGGUCGGGGAUGGGGCACCUCCUUGUGGAAGCACCUCCGGUUCAAGGCGUCCAUGAAACAAGCCCCUCCUCUGUUCGUUCCUGGUCUCUUACGAAAGGAGAGAGAGCAGCACAGGUUAGAGAGGGCAGAGGGGAAAUGUAGAGAGGAGAAGAAAGGGCAAGGGGGAGGCGCUGCUAGGACCUGCUGUGCUCCGAUGCUCAUGGACGAAGGCCCUUGCAGGCUACGGGAGCGUUGGACCUCGGCGUUUGUAGUGGUUGUAGUUUUCCUGAACAAAGACAAGAUAGAGAGAGAAUUCAGAGAGGGAAAAUAGGGAAGGGAAGCAGGGAGAGACGACAUGAUUCAGAGAUCCUACCUGCUGCAUGGAGGAGCUCCUGCAAUUCUCGACGUGCUGGUCGGACGGUGACGGGAAAGACCAUGGCAUCGAGCUUCGGCGGCGGAGGGAUGUUGCGGUUCAUGCAGCACUUGGCCGGAUCCAGCGGUUGUCGGCGGAGCUACUUCACCGGCGGUGUUGCUGAACCUGCUGGUUCCAAGGCGCAUCGGGGAGCUCCUGAGGAAGACAAACAAAUAAGAAAAGAGAUCAGG
rnacentral:lncRNA from 1 species